UACAUGUGGGGCAAGCGUUGUUCGGAAUUACUGGGCUUAAAGGGUGCGUAGGUGGUUUGUUAAGUCAUGGGUGAAAGUUUUCGGCCCAACCGGAAAAUUGCCUGUGAUACUGGCGAACUUGAGUGCGUGAGGGGUAACCGGAACGAGCAGUGUAGCGGUGAAAUGCGUAGAUAUUGCUCGGAAGGCCAGAGGCGAAGGCGGGUUACUGGUACGCAACUGACACUGAGGCACGAAAGCGUGGGGAGCAAACAGG
rnacentral:rRNA from 1 species